rnacentral:tRNA from 1 species
GGGGGUGUCCGGACGCCUGGUGGGUUCCGCGGCCUUCAAAGCCGUUGGCGGGUCGUCAAAGCGGCUCGCGGUGGGUUCGAUUCCCAUCCACCCCC